AGAUUUGAUCCUGGCUCAGGAUGAGCGCUGGCGGUAUGCUUAACACAUGCAAGUCGAACGGAGCUUCGGCAUCAGUGGCGGACGGGUGAGUAACGCGUAAGAAUCUGCCCCCAGGUUCGGGUAACGGUGGGAAACCGCCGCUAAUACCGGAUGUGACUGAGAAGUCAAAGGCUUGCCGCCGGGGAUGAGCUUGCGUCCGAUUAGCUAGUUGGAGUGGUAACGCACACCAAGGCGACGAUGGUAGCGGGUCUGAGAGGAUAGCCCGCCACACUGGGACUGAGACACGGCCCAGACUCCUCGGGAGGCAGCAGUGGGGAAUUUUCCGCAAUGGGCGAAAGCCUGACGGAGCAAUACCGCUGGGGGAAGAAGGUCUGUGGAUUGUAAACCCCUUUUCUCUGGGACGAUAAUGACGGUACAGAGGAAUAAGCCUCGGCUAACUCCGUGCCAGCAGCCGCGGUAAGACGGAGGAGGCAAGGUUAUCCGGAAUUAUUGGGCGUAAAGGGUGCGUAGGUGGUUCAUCAAGUCCCUUGUCAAGCGUGGUGCUUAACGCCAUACAGGCGAGGGAAACUGGUGGGCUAGAGUGCAACAGGGGCGGAGGAAUUCCCGGUGUAGCGGUGAAAUGCGUAGAUAUCGGGAAGAACACCGGUGGCGGGGCGUUCUGCUGGGUUGCAACUGACACUGAGGCACGAAAGCUAGGGGAGCGAAUGGGAUAGAUACCCCAGUAGUCCUAGCCGUAAACGAUGGACACUAGGCGUAGGCAGAAUCGACCCGUCUGUGCCGUAGCCAACGCGUUAAGUGUCCCGCCUGGGGAGUA
rnacentral:rRNA from 1 species